CGCAUAUUGCGCCCAGUAGUAUUCUACUGGGCAUGCCUAUUCGAGCGUCAUUUCAACCCUUACGCCCCGUAGCGUAGCGUUGGGACUCUACUCCUCCGGGGGCAGUUCCCUAAACCCAGUGGCGGUGUUCGGUACACUCAUAGCGUAGUAAAUCAUCCUCGCUUCUGUAGUAUACCGAGCUAUCGGCCGUAAAACCCCCUAUUUUCUAAUGGUUGACCUCGGAUUAGGUAGGAAUACCCGCUGAACUUAA
rnacentral:misc_RNA from 1 species